rnacentral:rRNA from 1 species
AUUUAACUCUUUCUUCAUUCUUAACACAUUCAAGUCUAACUAUUGGCGGACGUUUUAUUAAUGCUUUUUAAUCUAGCUUAUGGAGGGUGAUAACUACGGGAAACUGUAGCUAAUACCGCGUACCAUAGGAUGAGCCCAAGUGGGAUUAGGUAGUUGGUGAGGUAAAGGCUCACCAAGCCGACGAUCUCUAGCUGGUCUGAGAGGAUGACCAGCCACACUGGGACUGAGACACGGCCCAGACUCCUACGGGAGGCAGCAGUGGGGAAUAUUGCGCAAUGGGGGCAACCUGACGCAGCCAUGCCGCGUGAAUGAAGAAGGCCUUCGGGUUGUAAAGUUCUUUCGGUAGCGAGGCGUUAACUACAGAAGAAGCACCGGCUAACUACGUGCCAGCAGCCGCGGUAAUAC